UGUCAAUGGGCGUGGGACGUGUUAGCGGGCUGACUUUAGCUAACGAUGACAGAAAAUACACGAGGUGGAACCUGAAGCUUAGAAAUGAAUGGACAGGAUGCUCAGAGGCAAGACAUGGGUGACAUCACACACAGUGGGAGAAGGUGAUCGGUAUCUGUGAUGGUUUCCUGGUCCUAAUGGAUGGCAAAGGAGAAACUAGAGAGGACCUUAAAUUGCCAGAUGGUGACCUGGGCAAAGACAUCGAGAAGAAGCUUGCCAGUGGGGAAGAGUUUCUGGUCACUGUCAUAAAAGCUAUAGAUGAAGAGCAUAUAACUCUCAUCAAGAGCACGUCUUUUCAAUGAGCGCAGGACAAUCCUAGAGACCUCACAUUCUUAUCCUCCAUCAUGGUUUUCAACCCUCGCCAAAGCUACUGGCCCUCAUCCCACAUCUCCACCAGUUUCCAGGCCAUUUUCUCCUCUA